CUACGGGAUGCUCCAGUGAGGAAUAUUGCACAAUGGGGGGAACCCUGAUGCAGCAACGCCGCGUGGAGGAUGACGCAUUUCGGUGUGUAAACUCCUUUUAUAUGUCAAGAAAAUGACGGUAGCAUAUGAAUAAGCACCGGCUAACUCCGUGCCAGCAGCCGCGGUAAUACGGAGGGUGCAAGCGUUACUCGGAAUCACUGGGCGUAAAGGACGCGUAGGCGGGUUGGAAAGUCAGGUGUGAAAUCCUACAGCUUAACUGUAGAACUGCACUUGAAACUUCUAAUCUAGAGUAUGGGAGGGGGAGAUGGAAUUAGUGGUGUAGGGGUAAAAUCCGUAGAUAUCACUAGGAAUACCUAAAGCGAAGGCGAUCUCCCGGAACAUUACUGACGCUAAGGCGUGAAAGCGUGGGGAGCAAACAGGAUUAGAUACCCGCGUAGUC
rnacentral:rRNA from 1 species